UCUCCCCUUCAGCAACAGAAUGGCUAUCCUUUGGUGAAUUAAUUGAUUGUUUGCAGACAUGUUUUCCGAAGCUCUAUGGGUUAGUGACCCGUCAGGAGACGGGGUGGGGUAUGGGUGGCAGUGGUUCUGUGGGGACUGCGUUCUCCCUGUCAACUAUGGGAACUCUGACAGUUUGGGUGCGAGGCAACCGCGUUUCCUCCCUGUGUACUGUAGCUCUUGGUGUUUGGAGUGGGAGUCGGGGUGAGGGAACGGCGUGUGCUGGUGUACAUGGCUUUCUUUAUGUACCUAUACUUACCCUUUCCUGUGUAUGAUUUCUUAAGGCUUUGAUGGCCUCUGGAGGGACAUCCUAGGUCACCUCGGGAAACUUAGCUAAACUAGAGGUGGGAAAGCAGAAGAGCUUUCUCUUCCUCGGGCCUUCACCCACCCCCUUACCCAGCGACUGGAAAGACUUUGAUUCUCCCCUCCCCCAUCUUUUCCUCCCCAGGCUCUUCUUUUGUUGUCAAGUUCCUUUGAUAAAUGGUUGUGCUGUAGAGCUGAGAGAGAAGAGGGAAGAAGGUCGGUGGAGAAAAGCCGAGGGGUUCCAGCACUUCCUUCAAGCACCGGCACAAACCCGACCUGCUCGUUUGUCAACUUUCUCAGCCCCUAAUCCAAACAUGCUUGAAAGCCCCUGGCCCCAAGACUUGGUACUCGUUCACUCUUCUUUCUCUCCAGACCCGGGUAGAGAGAGACCUAUUCCCAGCCGGCAGUCGAGCUCAGGACGCGGGGCUCGGAAUUUCUCAGUCGACAGAGCAGAGCAGAGGAAAGCUGAGCAGAGCGCACCCACUCAGCCUUAG
rnacentral:lncRNA from 1 species